AUUGAACGCUGGCGGCAUGCCUUACACAUGCAAAUCGAACGGUAACGGGCCUUCGGGUGCCGACGAGUGGCGAACGGGUGCGUAAUACAUCGGAACGUGCCCGAUCGUGGGGGAUAACGAGGCGAAAGCUUUGCUAAUACCGCAUACGAUCUACGGAUGAAAGCAGGGGACCGCAAGGCCUUGCGCGGACGGAGCGGCCGAUGGCAGAUUAGGUAGUUGGUGGGAUAAAAGCUUACCAAGCCGACGAUCUGUAGCUGGUCUGAGAGGAUGAUCAGCCACACUGGGACUGAGACACGGCCCAGACUCCUACGGGAGGCAGCAGUGGGGAAUUUUGGACAAUGGGCGCAAGCCUGAUCCAGCCAUGCCGCGUGCAGGAUGAAGGCCUUCGGGUUGUAAACUGAUUUUGUACGGAACGAAAAGCCUUCUUUUAAUACAGGAGGGUCAUGACGGUACCGUAAGAAUAAGCACCUGCUAACUACGUG
rnacentral:rRNA from 1 species